rnacentral:rRNA from 1 species
GACGAACGCUGGCGGCGUGCUUAACACAUGCAAGUCGAACGGAAAGGCCCUGCUUUUGUGGGGUGCUCGAGUGGCGAACGGGUGAGUAACACGUGAGUAACCUGCCCUUGACUUUGGGAUAACUUCAGGAAACUGGGGCUAAUACCGGAUAGGAGCUCCUGCUGCAUGGUGGGGGUCGGAAAGUUUCGGCGGUUGGGGAUGGACUCGCGGCUUAUCAGCUUGUUGGUGGGGUAGUGGCUUACCAAGGCUUUGACGGGUAGCCGGCCUGAGAGGGUGACCGGCCACCUUGGGACUGAGGUACGGCCCAGACUCCUACGGGAGGCAGCAGUGGGGAAUAUUGCACAAUGGGCGGAAGCCUGAUGCAGCAACGCCGCGUGCGGGAUGACGGCCUUCGGGUUGUGAACCGCUUUCGCCUGUGACGAAGCGUGAGUGACGGUAAUAGGUAAAGAAGCACCGGCUAACUACGUG